UACGAAGGGGGCUAGCGUUGCUCGGAAUUACUGGGCGUAAAGCGCACGUAGGCGGAUUGUUAAGUCGGGGGGUGAAAUCCUGGAGCUCAACUCCAGAACUGCCUUCGAUACUGGCGAUCUCGAGUUCGGGAGAGGUGAGUGGAACUGCGAGUGUAGAGGUGAAAUUCGUAGAUAUUCGCAAGAACACCAGUGGCGAAGGCGGC
rnacentral:rRNA from 1 species